AGGGAACUGGCCAGGAGGAUGCAUGGCUGAAGGGACUGCCAUCUACUCUGUGUAUGUUUUCUGGUGAAUACUGGGAGGUGAUGUUCUGGCCUGCAUAAAGAAGCAUAUCUACAGUGAAUGGUGCCUUUUUCUGAACACACCCUCCAUAGCAGCUGGAGGCCUUCAGGCAGGCCAGGCACCCUCCACACCCCACCUACCACAUGCUCGAGAGCUGCACAGGGUCACUGACCUGCUUGAUCAUUGUACAUGUUGUGUUGGGUGCCGCCUGAUCAUACCAUGCUGUGAACAAGAAGCAUUCAUGCAGGCAUUCAACUGGCCCUGACGGAAUAUGCCUCAUGCUAGUAAAUAAUGUACUAGAGCCUAGCAGAAUAAUGAGUCAAGGGAGAUGUUGCCACAGCCCCGGGGUCAGUUCUGCACAGAGAUAAGCUACAUUCAGAGCACGAUCGACCCACAGUGACUGAGAACCCCAGGUGUCAGGCCUGAGCUCCAAGGCACUGAGGGUAAAGGGUGGGUCAGGCAUGGGCCCUGUCCUCUGAGAGUCCCCAGCCUGCUGUGGGAUGCAGGGUGGAUGACUUUCAUGCCUCCUAGAGCCAACCAAGGUGCCCAGGGAGAGGCUGCGACAGGGCGCUCGUGUGCUCAAUGGAUGGAGAAAUCCCCACAGUCUGGGAGGAGCCGAGAGAGGCGAUGAUGCUGAGGUGGCCUUCAGGUGGCCUUUACGGAAAAGGAAGGGCUUUUCUGGGCCUGGGUUUUUAUGACCCAUGUGAUCUGGGCCACACAUGCAACCCUUUACUGCUUAAAAGCCAAUCACUGCCAGUCACAAAAGGAUGAAAUGUGAAUGAUUCCACUCAUCUGAGGAACCUGGAGCAGUCACAUUCAUAGACCAGGAGGAGCACGGCAGCGGCCAGGGGCUAGGUGGGUGGAAUGGGAGUUGUGUCGAAUGGGUGCAGUUUCAAUUUGGGAAGACGGACAGAGCUCUGGGGAUGGACUUUCGUGAUGGUAGCACAACAUCAUGAAUGGACUGCGUGCUACUGAACUGACAAGUGGUUAGGAUGGUAGGUGUUAUAUUAUGUGUAUUUUACCACCAUUUAAAAACAUUUUAAACGUGAACUUUAAAAAAAUCCAUUUACUGAAAGCUUUCCCUGCCAGCCUCAGAGCCAAGGAUAUACCAGGCACAUUGCUGUUCUUGAGAAGUUCCAUGUUUCACAGCACAGACAGGAGCAUGUGGGUGUCAGGGUGGAGGGGACAGAGGGUACUGCCCUAACUGGAGCCAGCGAUGUGGAGGAGCCACACCUUCACCUGAGGCAGUGGCGAAAGGCUUCAGAAAAGCAGUGAUGUGAAGUCAGAGGCCACCUCUCAGGAGUGGGAGGGCAGGCAGGAGCUGUACCUCACGGCAGGCAGCCACUGGCACCACGUGCUGUGUAAACAACUGCUCAGGAAUGCCACUGGCGAUGGGGUCCUGCCUCCACAUGUCAGCCUUCCCUCCUGUGGUCAUAUGCCCAGGCUUAGGCCAGCGGCAUGACCCACAUCUUUCCACACAGACCCCAUGUGGGCCACCUCUCCGCUGGCCUGUGAGCUCAUGAGGUGGGGACCACAUCUGUCAUGCUCACCACCGAAUCCUCCACACCUGGCCCAGGGCUGGCACACAUUAGGUGCUCAAUCCAUUUUUCUAGUAAGACUAAGGAGGCCCUUGCUCAUGGCAUUCCUUCUCUUCCUCUCACGGUGCCCAGAUCCUAUUCAUCAGUCAAGACCUGAUGCCACAUCUCCCAAGCAGCCGUCCCUGGUGCCCUUGCUUGGAAAUUGCUGCGCCGUUCAUGGAGCCUAACACUGUGUUCGAGACCAGCAUCAGGGCAGUCACCACAGACCAACCCAUAUUCAGCUUUUAUAACAUGAUUUAAUUCCCACAGCCACCCAGUGGGGAGGGAUGACUAUUACUACCACUGGAUGAAUGAGGAAACUGAGGCCUGGGGUGUUGAAUAACUUCAUUGAGGUCACACAGCACUAGACCACGGAGCAAGUAUUGGCAAAGGACUUCCAUGAUGCGGGGCUUGAUCCAGAACCCUGUCAGAAGGGGCCCCCGGCAGAAUGGCCUCUGUACCAUGACAGAAACUCUAAAUGUCUCAACUGCAUCACUGUCAUGGACUUUGGCCCACCUCAGACUUCAACUGCAGUGGUGGGGGGCAGUUCCAUGAGAGCUCAGGCUCAGCUGAGCUGACAGCAUCCUGGCUCAGGUGUGGCCCUCUUUCUGCUCUAGAGAUUCUUGUCCAUCUUGGGAGCCGUCUCCUCCACCCCCACUAUUCCCACCUUACCCAAAAGCAUGGGAGAGUCCAGGCCUCCCAUCCUUUGACCAAAGGGAAGUAGGAGCCAUUACAUGGUGUUUGCCUCCUGUCCUGCAGUUCUAGGAGGCCUCUGCACACCUCUGUGGAGCUGAGCCCUGGUUGCCCUCAACAGCUACCUGGUGACCCCUACCCCUGUGACCACACUUUGCCUGCUUCCCCAACUCCCUCUCUCUCUCACUCCUUCUUGGCAUCACCUCCACAAAAACAUACCCGCACCCAAACCAGUGUCUCAAGCUGUGCUUCUUGGAGGUGGGGUGAGGGGAAUCUUCCAAGAACUCAAAAGCCUAGUAAUUAGGUUUCCCUUUUCACCCACGGGUUACUGGUAACUUCUGAUGUGAGUUAUUAAGGGUCAUGAAAAUUUGGCAUUUGUAAACCAAGAUUAGAGUUAUACCGAAUAUUACGGAGGGCGCCAAUUCAGCUUUGUAUCAAGAAGGCCAGCAACCAUGCAACACUGAAAAGCCCCUACUGUGCGUGACCACUGGCCAGUCGCUGGAAGGGCCACCAUUCUCAGAAAGGAUGCUUUGCGGGCAACACAUCCUCAAGAUGGCCUUGAGUCAGUCAUGGCUUCUUCUGCCUUUUAAACAAUGAAGUGCUAUAAGGUACCAUUAGUUGGGUGACAAAUGAAAGAUGUUCACAAGGUCUUGGACGCUCCUACAUCAAGAAGUGGAGACUAUUUCUGCUCCCUUUGAAUCUGUGCUGACCUGUGACUAUUUUAACCAGCAGUAUGGCAGGACUGACACCAGGCUAGCUUCAGGCUUAGACUUGAAGAGAACUGACAGCUUCUUUUUGGGAUCUUGGAGCCCUCCUGCCUUGCAGAACCUUGCUGGAGACCCCACAUGAAGAGGAGUCAAGACUACUCACGGAGAGAGAGGGGCUCCGUGAGCACUGCCUCCCAACCAUCCAAGGAAGCAGCCUGUGAACAAAGUCGUCUUGCGUCCUCUAGACUAGUCCAGCAUCUGCUGGACCCCAGACAAUACCACAUGAAACCCAGAAGAAUCCCUCAACUCAGUCCUGCCUGAAUUUCUAACCCAGUUCACUGUGAAAUUUCUAAUCCAGUUCAUUGUGAAAUGGAAUAACACAAUGGUCAUUGUUUUAAGCCACUGUGCUUUGGGGUCGUUUGUUACACAGCAAUAGAUGCUCGAAACCGUUUUGCCUUACCACUGUUGAUUUAGUUUGUGGUGCACGGCAAUGUACAUUUGCAUCAACAGAAUUGGGGGCAAUAAUUAUGGAUAUAGAUAUAGGUAUAGAUAUAGAUACACACAUAGACUUUCAGUUCAAAUGAAUCAUCCAUACCCUCUUGCUGAAGUAGCUGGAAAACUCAUCCCAAAAAAACAGCUCCUGCAGCAACCUUCAUUGGUCAUAUGCUGCCUGGGAAUCUGUGCUAUUUCUAUAAAUUGCAGUGUAAAUGUAAUCCAAGUCCUAGGCUAUUUUUAAAUUUAUGAAUCGUUUUGUCAUGUGAAGUUGCAUUUAUAAGCCCACUAUUUUUACAUAUAAAUUUAAAUGAUAAGAAACUCAUCAAUAGGAAAGGUAGCGUGGUGUAGAGGUUAGGAGCUGGACUCUAAGGCCAGCUGCUUGUGUUCAAAUCCUAACCCCUGGGUUUCCUCUCUGUGAUGUGAUGAGAACAACGGAAACACUUAACAGAGUCAUAAGACUUAAAUUAGUUGAUAUGUACACGUGCUCAGAACAGCACCUGGCUGAUAAUAAGGCCAAAUAGGCUUAUUGCAACUUGUUUAUUUGUCCUCUCCAAUUUCAUAUUGUCAUCUAGUUCUUUCUUCACCAAAAGACGGGAGCAUCAUAGAAGGAGGAAUGAGAGGUUGGCCCUAGAGUGUUUAACAUAGACUUAGCCCAUAGAUGGCCUUCUGUAAAUCUCUGUGGAAUUGAUUGACAGUUACCCAAUAAAUAUACACUUUUCCUAGACAUCUAACAUCGUUUAAACAAUUUCUUGGCCAGGCUUGGUGGCUCAUGCCUGUAAUCCUAGCACUUUGGGAGGCCGAGGAGGGUGGAUCACCUGAGGUCUGGACCUCAGGUUGAGACCAGCCUGACCAACAUGGAGAAUCCCUGUCUCUACUAAAAAUAUAAAAAUUAGCAGGGUGUGGCAGUGCAUGCCUGUAAUCCCAGCUACUCAGGAGGCUGAGGCAGGAGAAUCGCUUGAACCUGGAAGGCUGAGGUUGCGGUGAGCCAAGAUCACGCCACUGCACUCCUCCAGCCUGGGCAACAAGAGCAAAACUCAGUCUCAAAAAAAAAAUAAAAUAAAUCUUCAGUACAGAUCACUGCAAACCAUCAAGCACAUGGUGGUUUGGGCCCAGAGAACAAAUGUGUCACACCCACCUGCGCCCGAUGCCUUCUGCUCCAGCCUCCUUGCUGCCGUCCACGUUGAAGUUAUCCAUUGAUGUACUCAGCAGGCCUCCUGCAGCACCCUGAAGCCUGGAUACAAACAACUCGUUUUCUGAGCAUGACAAUCUCUGAAUCCAAAUGAGAGGCUUAGACCGGGCCUGGUGUGCAGGACUCAAAUUGGCCAUUUGCACAAACUUAUCAUGGUCUGAAUUUGGGGAGAAAAACAUAGACAUACACACACACAAGAAUGAUGCUGGAUCCAUUGCUCUGGUGGUUGUAACAUAUCACUGGGCCCCCGCUCUCCUCCUCCUUUCUUUUUCUGCUGCUAUUUUGUCUCCUGUGAUUAUCCCUGGGAAUGCAAGGUCUCCUAAUUAGCACUUGCUAAUGAAAGAAACCUCAGAAACAGAAGAAGGAAGAGACGAGAUGCUCUCUCUCCCCUUGCAGCUGACAGGACGCAGAGCCAAAGAGCCUGUUUAAAUGGGUGCUAACCCUAGAGUAUUUGCGGGUGUGUCGGGCUCCGGCCGAGCCUCCUGCGAAAUCAGCUGCCCCAUCCCCUUCUGCUUUCUGCUUUUACAGAUCUGUCCUCCCAAACAUUCUUGUAGCAAAUGUGCCUCCAAAUCUCCUGGGAUCCCAAGAUUAGGCUCUGCUCUGUGGAGUAUAACCUUUAAUCUCUACACAGCGUAGUUUGCCCUGGUAAUCAUAUUUAAUACAAGGUCCUAUUUCCUGAAAUAUAAUAUGAGAUGUGUUGGGUUCCCCCCAGCUUUGACACUUGCCUUUCUCCUUCCAUGCAGAAAUGUUUAAUAAAUAACUUUGAUGAAGUCUUGAACUUAAGACCAUGGAUGUGAUUAACUCCCCACUUCACUAUUCACAUUGAUCAUAAAAAAAAUGGGAUUUGAAAAAUAGAGCUUUUAAGUUAAUGAGGCUUUACAUAAAGCCAAGUUAGUAUUUUAAGACAGGAAAAUGAUGACUACAUUCUGACCAUCUGCGCCUUGCUAAAACCAAGAAGGAAAGAACGGUCAGACACAUGGUAGUGGUGUGGCUCCUGGUUUCUCUGUGUGUGUAUGUGUGUGUGUGUGUGCACAUGCACUUCUAGAGCCUGGUGAAGUGCCUCCAUUUCAAGGAUAUCCAUGGGCAUAUAUUUCUUCAAACAGACCCCCCUCUCUUCUCUACAAUGGUGUCUGGUUCCCUGCCAGGGCUGUGCUUACUGAAAAAGCCAGCCUUUUAAAAAAAAACUUUUUGAGAAUUUUCUGCAUGCAUGAGGCACUAUGGUACCAUCACUCACAUACAGUAGGCAAAAAGCAAUGAAGGAAUAUAAGUAAAUUAAAUGUGAC
rnacentral:lncRNA from 10 species